AUGCCUGCCUCCUCUAGCGAUGAUGUCGCCGGCCCGUGCCACCACGUGCAGUCGCGGCCCCUGUCCGCCGCCACUGCCGCCCCAACACCGAUGAUGCCCACAUCUCCUCUUCCAACUCCGAAAACCCUACUGUAUCACAUUUGUUUGUCGUUAUCCUCUGAAAAUGGCAUUAUUACAGGUUACUUGCACUGCUUAUCUUUCUUUGUCAGCGCGCCUCUUUCCUCCAAUAAUAUGCUGAAGCUACUCCUUACAGCAAGGAAACGGUGGAUGAAUCUUCACCAGUUACAAAUGUAUGUUGAAGCUACUCCUUACAGCAAGGAAACGGUGGAUGAAUCUACACAAUUUACAAAUGUAUGCUGA
rnacentral:rRNA from 1 species